GCAAAAGUUUCAUGCAGCUGCACUACCGUUCUCUUGUAGCAUACAGAAUUUGAAGCCAUGGAUCUCAUGUCAUACGUCACAGCUACGCAAAGAAGCAGCUAUAUCGAUCAGGUCCGCUUGACGGGGUCGAAGUUGGAGACGGCGACGACGGCGCCGACGAUGGCGACGAGCACGACGCCGCCGGACGCGAUGCUGAGCAGGAAGUUCUUGAGCGACGGCGACAGCGCCGGCGCCGCCUCCGCCACCUCGGGCACCGCCAGCGCCGCCGCCACGGCCGCCACCGCGGCUAUCCCCGCCGCCGCGGCAGCAGCUGAGGCCUUCUCCCUCCUCACCGGCUCCCCCGACGACGACGCCCGGACGACGACGGCCCGCCGUGCCGCCGCCGGGGAGGCGGCUUUCAUCGGCGCCGCCGGCGACGAGACGCGAGCCAGCGGCCUCCCGAGCCCCCCGGCCACGGACAGAGACGCCGCAACGGCGGUCGCGGUGGCGGCCAUGGAUCGAUGGAGGUGUCUCCUCUCGCGCUUGCUUGUGAAGAGGAGGAGAUCGAUG
rnacentral:misc_RNA from 1 species